rnacentral:rRNA from 1 species
AUUGAACGCUGGCGGCAGGCCUAACACAUGCAAGUCGAGCGGCAGCGACUUAACUGAACCUUCGGGGAACGUUAAGGGCGGCGAGCGGCGGACGGGUGAGUAAUGCCUGGGAAUAUGCCCUGAUGUGGGGGAUAACUAUUGGAAACGAUAGCUAAUACCGCAUAAUCUCUUCGGAGCAAAGAGGGGGACCUUCGGGCCUCUCGCGUCAGGAUUAGCCCAGGUGGGAUUAGCUUGUUGGUGAGGUAAUGGCUCACCAAGGCAACGAUCCCUAGUUGGUCUGAGAGGAUGAUCAGCCACACUGGAACUGAGACACGGUCCAGACUCCUACGGGAGGCAGCAGUGGGGAAUAUUGCACAAUGGGGGAAACCCUGAUGCAGCCAUGCCGCGUGUGUGAAGAAGGCCUUCGGGUUGUAAAGCACUUUCAGUAGGGAGGAAGGUAGUGUAGUUAACACCUGCAUUAUUUGACGUUACCUACAGAAGAAGCACCGGCUAACUCCGUGCCAGCAGCCGCGGUAAUACGGAGGGUGCGAGCGUUAAUCGGAAUUACUGGGCGUAAAGCGCAUGCAGGCGGCCUGUUAAGUCAGAUGUGAAAGCCCGGGGCUUAACCUCGGAAUUGCAUUUGAAACUGGCAGGCUAGAGUCUUGUAGAGGGGGGUAGAAUUUCAGGUGUAGCGGUGAAAUGCGUAGAGAUCUGAAGGAAUACCAGUGGCGAAGGCGGCCCCCUGGACAAAGACUGACGCUCAGAUGCGAAAGCGUGGGGAGCAAACAGG